rnacentral:misc_RNA from 1 species
GAUGAAGAACGCAGCGAAAUGCGAUAAGUAGUGUGAAUUGCAGAAUUCAGUGAAUCAUCGAAUCUUUGAACGCACAUUGCGCCCGCCAGUAUUCUGGCGGGCAUGCCUGUCCGAGCGUCAUUUCAACCCUCGAACCCCUCCGGGGGGUCGGCGUUGGGGAUCGGCCCUCCCUUAGCGGGUGGCCGUCUCCGAAAUACAGUGGCGGUCUCGCCGCAGCCUCUCCUGCGCAGUAGUUUGCACACUCGCAUCGGGAGCGCGGCGCGUCCACAGCCGUUAAACACCCAACUUCUGAAAUGUUGACCUCGGAUCAGGUAGGAAUACCCGCUGAACUUAAGCAUAUCAAUAAGCGGAGGA